rnacentral:rRNA from 1 species
AACGAACGCUGGCGGCAUGCCUAACACAUGCAAGUCGAACGAGACCUUCGGGUCUAGUGGCGCACGGGUGCGUAACGCGUGGGAACCUGCCCUUAGGUUCGGAAUAACUCCCCGAAAGGGGUGCUAAUACCGGAUAAUGUCUUCGGACCAAAGAUUUAUCGCCUUUGGAUGGGCCCGCGUUGGAUUAGCUAGUUGGUAGGGUAAAAGCCUACCAAGGCGACGAUCCAUAGCUGGUCUGAGAGGAUGAUCAGCCACACUGGGACUGAGACACGGCCCAAACUCCUACGGGAGGCAAGAAGGGGGGAUAAUUGGCAAUGGGCCGAAACCUUAACCAGCAAUGGCGGGGUAGGUGAGGAGGCCUUUGGGGUUGAAAACUCUUUUUCCCGGGAAUGAAAAGGCAAGAACGGGAAGAUAAACUCCGGCUAACUCCGGG